rnacentral:misc_RNA from 1 species
UACGGAGGGUGCAAGCGUUACUCGGAUUUACUGGGCGUAAAGAGCACGUAGGCGGUUUGGUAAGUCUGAUGUGAAAGCCCAUGACUCAAUCAUGGAAGUGCAUUGGAUACUACUAGACUAGAGUACAGGAGGGGUGAGCGGAAUUCCUGGUGUAGAGGUGAAAUUCGUAGAUAUCAGGAGGAACAACGGCGGCGAAGGCGGCUCACUGGACUGAAACUGACGCUGAGGUGCGAAAGCGUGGGGAGCAAACGGG